AUGUUUCUGGACAGAGAUUGCAGCCCUUUGGAGCUGUUCCUGGUCGUUGGAAGGGGGGAUGACAUCCUAUGGUUACCAAUGUGCUGAGGAAUUUGCAGCUGGUCGGUUCAUCGUUCUCCUGAAGACUGCAGUGAGACCUCUCCACAAGGCAGCAGUGUUUCCCCUUGGGCCAGUAAUGCCCGUGAGCCUGUGGCAGCCUGCAGCUCCUCUGGGUCCUAUCCCAGGCCGUGCUAUGCUGAUAGCUCUUCUGCCAGGACAAAAUUACUUCUUUUCCCAUCUGACCUUAAAUUUGAACACUGGUAACAGACUGCACCUUAAGACUUCACGUGUUUAUAGACAUCAUUGUGCAACCUUGCAUGGUUUGUUUUUAAAAAAGGAGAAGUCCACGCAAUGGAGAAAUAAUAUGAUAGAUGAUCAAAUCGGAGCAAAGCCUUAUGAUUAACUUUUGCAGGUUUACUUGCUUUUGAGGUUCUUGCUUCGAUUACCUGUUUUGGAGGUUUUUGUGAUUUAUCAGUUUCCUUUAUUUUGAUUAAGAGAGUAAUUGAAGCAAAUCCCUGCCAUACAAGAUACCAAGUUCAAAUGUAGGUCAUAUUUAAAAGGAUGUAUAAUGAACUGUGUUAAAAAUUUGUGCUGGUUUUCUCUGGUGCAUUCAAAUGGAUCCUUUAAAAGCUGCUGAUGUAAAGCUCAGAUUAUAUAUUGAGAACUUGAAGGGUCUUUGCAAUAUAAAUUUGGGCCAAUUCUAUACGUGAGAUUAUACUGCAGAUCUUUAGGUGGUGAAAUGCCAGAAGUGUGUCCUUCCAUAACCUCUCAUUCCUGUGGAUGGCUUUGCAGGACAGGAGUCCUGUCCUUUGAAAACCUCCCAAUGAGUAGGACAUUGGUGCAGUGUUACUUUGUGCUAUAGACCCUUUCUUCACCCUCAAAUACUGGGAGGUUGCACUUGAAGUUUUCUAGAAGCUCGGUGCUCAGAAUAACUUGAUGCUGUCUCUGCUUUGAAAUGUUCUGACAAUAUGUGGUUUAACCCAAAGGGAAUGGGAGAAUUCCUAUAGCUGGACUUCAGUACUGCUUUUGCCUUCUGCAGUCCAUUGAUUUGAGUUGGUACAGAGCAUACACACCUGGUUAACUCCUCAUUAUGCAGAACAGCCCCUGCUCUCUUAAUGCAAACUUCUGCACUUGCUCUAAAUCAGUGAUAUCUGUAUUAAGAAAUACCGUACUGCACUAUGAGAAAUCUGUUGAAAUAGAGAACUAUAAAACUUGGAAGAGUUAAUUCUGUGAAAGGCUGUGUACGUGUGUAAGGUUACUCUUCCAAGUCAGGGUUUGUGGCACUGUCAGUGCCUCACUGGGCUGUUAGGAGCUGGUAGC
ensembl:lncRNA